rnacentral:rRNA from 1 species
UGCGGUUAUACAAAAAUUAAAUUAAUUUCUUUUAGGAUUUAAUAAAUAAAAAUUUAUUAAAUAAUUUAAAUUUUAAAUUAUGAAGUGAAAUUUUAAUUUAAUUAAAAUUUAUUUAUUUUUAUGACAUUAAUAAAUUUUAUAAAAAACUAGGAUUAGAUACCCUAUUAUAAAAAUUUAAAAUUAAUAAUCUUAAAAUAGUAUAUAAUUUUUUUAUAGAAACUUAAAUAAUUUGGCGGUAUUUUAGUUCAUUUAGAGGAAUCUGUCUAAUAAUUGAUAAUCCACGAUUAAAUUUACUUAAUUUUUAAUUUUGUAUAUCGUUGUUAAAAAAAUAUUUUUUAAUAAAAAUAAUAUUUUAAAAUUUGAAUAAAAAAUUAAAUCAGAUCAAGAUGCAGAUUAUAAUUAAGAAUAUGAUGGAUUACAAUAAAUUUUAUUUUAUUUGGAUAUUAAUUUGAAAUAAAUUAAUUGAAAUUGGAUUUAAAUGUAAUUUUAUUAAUUUUGUUAAAAUGAUUUUAAAUUAAAAUAUGUACAUAUUGCCCGUCGCUUUCAUUUAUAAAUUGAAAUAAGUCGUAACAAAGUAGAGGUACUGGAAAGUGUUUCUAGAAAGAU